AUUUAUAUAGUUUAAUAAAAACAUUACAUUUUCACUGUAAAAAUAAAUAUUUUUUUAUAAAUA
rnacentral:tRNA from 1 species